AGAGUUUGAUCAUGGCUCAGGACGAACGCUGGCGGCGUGCCUAAUACAUGCAAGUAGAACGCUGAAGGAGGAGCUUGCUUCUCUGGAUGAGUUGCGAACGGGUGAGUAACGCGUAGGUAACCUGCCUGGUAGUGGGGGAUAACUAUUGGAAACGAUAGCUAAUACCGCAUAAUAGCAGUUGUUGCAUGAUAACUGUUUGAAAGGUGCAAUUGCACCGCUACCAGAUGGACCUGCGUUGUAUUAGCUAGUUGGUGGGGUAACGGCUCACCAAGGCGACGAUACAUAGCCGACCUGAGAGGGUGAUCGGCCACACUGGGACUGAGACACGGCCCAGACUCCUACGGGAGGCAGCAGUAGGGAAUCUUCGGCAAUGGACGGAAGUCUGACCGAGCAACGCCGCGUGAGUGAAGAAGGUUUUCGGAUCGUAAAGCUCUGUUGUAAGAGAAGAACGAGUGUGAGAGUGGAAAGUUCACACUGUGACGGUAUCUUACCAGAAAGGGACGGCUAACUACGUGCCAGCAGCCGCGGUAAU
rnacentral:rRNA from 1 species